rnacentral:sRNA from 1 species
ACUGGCUGCUCUGAAAAGCCAUCUUUGCAUUGUUCCUCGUCCGCCUCCUUGCUCGCCGCAGCCGCCUCCGCCGCGCGCCUCCUCCGCCGCCGCGGUCUCCGGCAGCUUUAUCGCCAGAGUCCCUGAACUCUCGCUUUCUUUUUAAUCCCCUGCAUCGGAUCACCGGCGUGCCCCACCAUGUCAGACGCAGCCGUAGACACCAGCUCCGAAAUCACCACCAAGGACUUAAAGGAGAAGAAGGAAGUUGUGGAAGAGGCGGAAAAUGGAAGAGACGUCCCUGCUAACGGGAAUGCUAAUGAGGAAAAUGGGGAGCAGGAGGCUGACAAUGAGGUAGAUGAAGAAGAGGAAGAAGGUGGGGAGGAAGAGGAGGAGGAAGAAGAAGGUGAUGGCGAGGAAGAGGAUGGAGAUGAAGAUGAGGAAGCUGAGUCAGCUACGGGCAAACGGGCAGCUGAAGAUGAUGAGGUGGGUUCUGACUUGAGAAGAAGGGGGGUUUGGCAUCUGGGUCUCCCCACCUGCCUCUAGCUGAGGUGCUCAAGCCGCGGAGGGACUGUUUUUGACUUUGUAGGUGGCCACUGUGUGGUCCUGAAUCUUAAGAACGGGAAGGAACGGGGCUGGGCUCA